GAUGAACGCUGGCGGCGUGCCUAAUACAUGCAAGUCGAGCGAACAGAUGAGAAGCUUGCUUCUCUGAUGUUAGCGGCGGACGGGUGAGUAACACGUGGGUAACCUACCUAUAAGACUGGGAUAACUCCGGGAAACCGGGGCUAAUACCGGAUAAUAUUUUGAACCGCAUGGUUCAAUAGUGAAAGACGGUUUCGGCUGUCACUUAUAGAUGGACCCGCGCCGUAUUAGCUAGUUGGUAAGGUAACGGCUUACCAAGGCGACGAUACGUAGCCGACCUGAGAGGGUGAUCGGCCACACUGGAACUGAGACACGGUCCAGACUCCUACGGGAGGCAGCAGUAGGGAAUCUUCCGCAAUGGGCGAAAGCCUGACGGAGCAACGCCGCGUGAGUGAUGAAGGUCUUCGGAUUGUAAAACUCUGUUGUUAGGGAAGAACAAAUUUGUUAGUAACUGAACAAGUCUUGACGGUACCUAACCAGAAAGCCACGGCUAACUACGUGCCAGCAGCCGCGGUAAUACGUAGGUGGCAAGCGUUAUCCGGAAUUAUUGGGCGUAAAGCGCGCGUAGGCGGUUUCUUAAGUCUGAUGUGAAAGCCCACGGCUCAACCGUGGAGGGUCAUUGGAAACUGGGAAACUUGAGUGCAGAAGAGGAGAGUGGAAUUCCAUGUGUAGCGGUGAAAUGCGCAGAGAUAUGGAGGAACACCAGUGGCGAAGGCGGCUCUCUGGUCUGUAACUGACGCUGAUGUGCGAAAGCGUGGGGAUCAAACAGGAUUAGAUACCCUGGUAGUCCACGCCGUAAACGAUGAGUGCUAAGUGUUAGGGGGUUUCCGCCCCUUAGUGCUGCAGCUAACGCAUUAAGCACUCCGCCUGGGGAGUACGACCGCAAGGUUGAAACUCAAAGGAAUUGACGGGGACCCGCACAAGCGGUGGAGCAUGUGGUUUAAUUCGAAGCAACGCGAAGAACCUUACCAAAUCUUGACAUCCUUUGAUCGCUCUAGAGAUAGAGUCUUCCCCUUCGGGGGACAAAGUGACAGGUGGUGCAUGGUUGUCGUCAGCUCGUGUCGUGAGAUGUUGGGUUAAGUCCCGCAACGAGCGCAACCCUUAAGCUUAGUUGCCAUCAUUAAGUUGGGCACUCUAGGUUGACUGCCGGUGACAAACCGGAGGAAGGUGGGAUGACGUCAAAUCAUCAUGCCCCUUAUGAUUUGGGCUACACACGUGCUACAAUGGAUAAUACAAAGGGCAGCGAACCCGCGAGGCCAAGCAAAUCCCAUAAAAUUAUUCUCAGUUCGGAUUGUAGUCUGCAACUCGACUACAUGAAGCUGGAAUCGCUAGUAAUCGUAGAUCAGCAUGCUACGGUGAAUACGUUCCCGGGUCU
rnacentral:rRNA from 1 species